rnacentral:lncRNA from 1 species
UAUACACACUGUGAUGCAAACGAACAUUUUCUCAACGUUUCUGCACCUGCUUCUUGCUCAUAGAACAGCCGGAAUCUGUUUCAAGAAGAAGGAACUACCUUUUGGAGCAGGACAUCAUCCAGCUCAGAGAUCCCUGGACCAAAUCUGGAUGGUCACUCAAAGCUGCUUGCCCAUUCCACACGGCUGCAGUUCCUUCUGCCCAACCCAUAUCCCUGAGCCCCCUACGUGUGGAAUCUGCCAGGAUUCUAAAUCCAAAGAUGGAUUUAACUGUCAGCCUGGCAAUCUCAAGAUUUAGAGAAAAUGAAAAGAGCUUUUUUCCCCCUACUUACAAAUAAGAUCAAAGAUACCUAAGUUAAGAGGGCAAAUUAUCUGAGGUUUUCAUACCUUGUUGGAAAGAGAACUGGUACCAGCAUCCUAACUCUGGGUCUGGAGCUCUUCGGCAGUCCUCCUCCUCAUCAGUAUGACUUUCUCCUUUGGCUGGCAAGAAUAUUGUUGAGCAAGUUAAUGUUCAGAACACAUGAGUUUAAAGGAAUUUUUCACCUCAGCCAAGAUUUCUUUAGACUGAACAUCUGAAUGUGGAGCUCAGGAAAAAGCACAAGGAGAGAUGGUUGGCUUCGGUUCAUUUCCAGUGAGUCAAAAGUGCUAUAAAAAAUAGAAGGAUAGGGAUAAUUGUGCCGUGCACGUCAG